rnacentral:rRNA from 1 species
CCCGCUGAACUUAAGCAUAUCAAUAAGCGGAGGAAAAGAAACUAACAAGGAUUCCCCUAGUAACUGCGAGUGAAGCGGGAAGAGCUCAAAUUUAAAAUCUGGCCGCCUUUGGUUGCCCGAGUUGUAGUCUGGAGAAGCGUUUUCCGUGUUGGACCGUGUACAAGUCUCUUGGAACAGGGCGUCAUAGAGGGUGAGAAUCCCGUCUUUGACACGGACUACCAAUGCUUUGUGAUGCGCUCUCAAAGAGUCGAGUUGUUUGGGAAUGCAGCUCAAAAUGAGUGGUAAAUUCCAUCUAAAGCUAAAUAUAGGCGAGAGACCGAUAGCGAACAAGUACCGUGAGGGAAAGAUGAAAAGCACUUUGGAAAGAGAGUUAAACAGUAUGUGAAAUUGCUGAAAGGGAAACGCUUGAUGUCAGUCACGUUGGCUAGGGAUCAACCUUGCUUCUCGCUGGGUGUAUUUCCUAGUGGACGGGUCAGCAUCAGUUUCGGUCGCUGUACAAGGGCAAAGGGAACGUGGCACUCCUUGGAGUGUGUUAUAGCCUUUCGUCGUAUGCAGUGGUUGGGACUGAGGAACUCGGCACGAAAUCUAUUUUGUGCUUAGGAUGCUGGCAUAAUGGCCUUAAGCGACCCGUCUUGAAACACGG